GACGAACCGUACGAACGUUAUUCGGAAUCACUGGGCUUAAAGGGUGCGUAGGCGGCGGCAAAAGUUGGGUGUGAAAUCCCUCGGCUCAACCGAGGAACUGCGCUCAAAACUGUGUAGCUUGAGGGAGAUAGAGGUGAGUGGAACUUAGGGUGGAGCGGUGAAAUGCGUUGAUAUCCUAAGGAACACCAGUGGCGAAAGCGACUCACUGGGUCUCUGCUGACGCUGAGGCACGAAAGCUAGGGUAGCGAACGGG
rnacentral:rRNA from 1 species